UACGGAGGGGGCUAGCGUUGUUCGGAAUUACUGGGCGUAAAGCGCACGUAGGCGGCUUGGUAAGUUAGAGGUGAAAGCCUGGAGCUCAACUCCAGAAUUGCCUUUAAGACUGCCGAGCUAGCAGGUGAGAGAGGUGAGUGGAAUUCCGAGUGUAGAGGUGAAAUUCGUAGAUAUUCGGAAGAACACCAGUGGCGAAGGCGACUCGCUGGACAAGUAUUGACGCUGAGGUGCGAAAGCGUGGGGAGCAAACAGG
rnacentral:rRNA from 1 species